AACGAACGCUGGCGGCAGGCUUAACACAUGCAAGUCGAGCGCCCCGCAAGGGGAGCGGCAGACGGGUGAGUAACGCGUGGGAACGUACCUUUUGGUUCGGAACAACUCCGGGAAACUGGAGCUAAUACCGGAUAAGCCCUAACGGGGAAAGAUUUAUCGCCGAAAGAUCGGCCCGCGUCUGAUUAGCUAGUUGGUGAGGUAACGGCUCACCAAGGCGACGAUCAGUAGCUGGUCUGAGAGGAUGAUCAGCCACACUGGGACUGAGACACGGCCCAGACUCCUACGGGAGGCAGCAGUGGGGAAUAUUGGACAAUGGGCGCAAGCCUGAUCCAGCCAUGCCGCGUGAGUGAUGAAGGCCUCAGGGUUGUAAAGCUCUUUUGUCCGGGAAGAUAAUGACUGUACCGGAAGAAUAAGCCCCGGCUAACUUCGUG
rnacentral:rRNA from 1 species